CCCUGUUCCUCUCCUCUCUUCUCUUGAGGCCUUUCCUUCCUUACCCUCCUUCUCCCCACUUCCCUACCCCCCACCUCUCCCCUGCCCUCUCCUCUUCCCCUCUCUCCCCCCUCCCCUGCGCCUCUGUCGGCUGUGCCUGGAGCCCACACUGACACAUCUUGUACUUCCCGUUUCCAGGGAAAUUCCUUGCCCACUCGACCACACCCGCCCUCGAGGACCUGCCCAUCUCUUUGGGCAGAGCAGAGGCCAGACAGGGACCUGGAUUGUGAGGCGACACCCCCCUGCUGGGUGUGUGCCGGGAGCCUUCGAGGGGCAGGACAGCUCCCCUACCCCGGAGCCUGACUUGGGUUACAGGAGGAGGUGGGGCCGGUGGAGUGCGAGCGUGCGAGCCUCUCCCCGUCGAGCUGCACCCUGGCACCACCAUGCCCAGCCAAAAUUAACUUUUGAGGCUGACCUUGAACUUCUGAUCUCCCUGCCUCCACCUGCCCCGGAGGUAGGAUUACAGGUCGUUCAGAUUCUGGGCUUCCCCCAUCCUUUGGCCUGCAGAGCAAAAAGCCGAGCUUCCAGGAGAGGUAUGAGACGGCUGUGGGUGCUCCAGGCCCCUCUCUGCAACUCCUGCAAGUUGCUGCGGACCGGAGGAUGACUGAGACGCAGCCUACUGCCUGUUGACAUCAGAGUUGGCGCUCCCAGGAGCGAGAGGAGGGUUAGGAACCAACAAUUCUUCUCUGAAAAUUCAGUUUAAAAUGGAUUUCAGGAUUUCUUAUUCAGAACACGGACGCUCUCCUUGUGAGUCACUGAGAUGGAGCUCUGUAUAGAGCAUCUACAGCAUGCAAAAGGCCCAGGUUUCAAUUCCCAGUAUGGUUUAUUUUUAUUUACUUAAGAUUUCUGUCCUGAAAAAACUAUUUUGACUGGACAUAGCCUAUUUAAAAGGAAAUAAAGUUUGAGUCGGGUGUA